AUUUUUCCACGGGCCGUCUGCUUCAUCUAGGUUUCUAAUUUUGCGCUGCCAUUAGACGGACGGCAACCGUAAAAAGUUGUCUAGUCGUCGCCUUUCGCUGCCCAUCCCAACCCAAACAGGCAAUCUCUUCACUACGCCAACUGCUUUUCAAGGGCAGCAGAACUUGUUACUGCACUUAGUUUGAAUCGGGGNNNNAGCAGAUCUGCUAGUCAUAAAGAGAAGUAUGGAGAAAUUAGUAAUUUCCCUCAAAAUCGCU
rnacentral:misc_RNA from 1 species